rnacentral:lncRNA from 1 species
CGUUUUAGUUGGUUUUUUCUAAUGGGUGUGAUUGUCAAUGAUAGCGCUUUUGCCAUUUUUUUCUCUCUCUAACAAUGUACAAGAAUUUCUCAUUUAUAAUUGCUAUGAUUUUAUUUAUGCUUAUGCUUAUGAGUUCUAUUAAUGUAUAUUGUUUUAGUUAUGAUUAAAGUUUAUUUUGAUUUUUUGAUAAAUGAGAAUAUCCACUUUAUAAAUUUAAAUUACAUAGAUAAAAUAACAUAUAUACUCAAUCCAAUUUCACACAUUCAGGUAAAUAAGCUAGGAUCCUUUUUAAAACAGUCUAUUGAACUGGGGACAGGGGACUCUUAAAGUAUUUACUUUUAUUGUGUAUAUUAAUGAUCUUGUUGUUAUUUUUAUUUUCAUUUUGUUAUGUUGUGUCACAACUAUAAAUAUGUAGUUUUAUGACAAUAAAGAU